CGCCGGAACGGAACGUGAACGUUGCAAUCGUUCGAGGGCCUCUGGCUCGCUUUUUGGCAGGCAGCGCGGCCAGUCGUCAGUCAGUUGGCCAACAAACUGGUAGCGUCUGGUGUGGCGAGCCAACAAAGGCUGGCAGGGCGGCCAACACCGGACCCGGCCCGAAUCUAAAACCCGGGUCCGGGUUGGAUCCGCAACAUCUACGGCUGCACGGCUGCCAAUUGAGCGGAGUUUGGGUCUCAAUUUGACGCGUAGCCAGCCAAGAAGAGUGGCCGGCCAACAACAAAAACAGGUGACGCAGGAUGUGGCCAACAGAAAAGUAAGAAGGAGGACCAGGCAAGAGAAGGAGGAGGAAACGCAGCGCACUUUUUUUUUGGCCACGGUCCGCGUUUGAUUAGCCAACUCAAACAUCAGGGCCAAGAUCAGGGCAAUUGACAGCUUUGCUCUGCAUCUCUUUCUCUUUCUGUUUGGCAAUGUCACAAUGGCAUACAGUGGUCUAUGGUCACUAUGGAUGGACCACAGUGGACUCUGGGCAGUAUUAAACAUCUGACGCUGCCCGCCAUGAUACUCGCGUCCGUCUCAAUUAUACAGCAAAUAAGAAACAAUAAAUAAACAAUUAAAAAGAAGGAGUAUUGCUCCGCAACUGCCAACAACAACCGUCAACAACCAGUUGCUCUGUGGUGCUAAAAAGUGAGUGUGUAACAGUGUGUGCCUUGUGAACUGAACUGACCAACGUGCCAAAAAUGAAGGGAGGAGGUGGGCCAUCUGGCUCGGACCCAAGCAACAAGAACAACUGCGAUUUGGCAGGAGCUGAUUGUUUCAUCUGGCCAGGCUUAAUGAAAGGACUCGUCCAAGACCUGGCCACAGCCGCAUGUCAAACGCAGCCGGGCAAAUGCCAUCAGAGCCCCAACGGAUAAGCAUCGCCAGAACAUCGGAUGAUGCUCCUCUCAAUAAAGUUUAUAACAAUAUUCAACCAUGAAAAAUAAACUAAAUAUUGCUCAAAGGACUAUGAUCCGUUACGGGGGCCCUAACAACAGCUCCCGAAAAAUAUAAUAAUAUGUUCAAUAAAUAAUAAUACAACUUCAAUUCUGAAUGACACGAAAACAUAACAAUAAACAAUUGUAAUAAUAAUUACAAAAUAGUAGACAACGAAAAACAUAAAACCACAAAAAAAAAGAUACUUAACCUAUAACUAUUAUAAAAAUAGUUCAAAUAGUGCUUAACCCAAAUAUGAACAAUAAUCGCAUAUAAAAUAACCAAGAAUUACUCAAGAAGCAAUAAAUUGAGCAAUUAUUAUAUAACCUCCAGCAAAUAUGAAGUUAUUAAUAAAUAAAACCAAGCAAAACAAAAAACAUAAUAUUGCAGUCCAAUACGUCUAUAAUCCAACGUCAAAAGUUUUAUAACGCAAUGAAAAUUGUUUUAUAAUAAGCACUUUCAAACAUUUAUAAUAUAAUUAAAUCAGCGCAGGAUGUCUUCGGCGUGGUGAAAGCAUAAGAUGUAAAACACAGCUAAAAUGGAAGGAAAGUAGUUAUUUGAAGGAUGAGAAAGGAGUGGAAAACAUCUGAGCGCGGAAAAGUGCUGGAAAAUGCAGUUAACGGCCCAAAGGAAGCCUCGUUAGCCAAUUGAGGAGGAGACCCAGAAAGUCGAGCCGAUUUUCCGCUGCAACCGCCGAAGGCCUGACCAACCAAUGGCAACGCUCAGCGGCAACGAAGCCCGGCCAAUGGGGCGAAAUCCAAGGGAAACGGGGGGAAAGCCAACAGCCCUGCAAUGCAUUUCUUUUGGCAACGUGUCAAGCGGCCCCUCACACACACUCACAACAAAGAUACUCUGCCCCGCUCACAUGCGCAUCGAGUGGUAUACGUAAUAUAUCAAGUAUACGCCUGUUAGCCGGGCAGUCGGCUUGUGAGUGUGUGCGAAUGGGCAAAAGCAGUGUUGCCAACUGCAUUGUCGGGCUGCCAGGAUACAACUACAACCCCCGACCCGAGGACACCACCGCACUCCUCCCAGCCAGGAGGCCAACGACGAGUCCUUUGCAAGCAGCGUAUUGGCUGCAGAACGACCGGCGACAGGACGACCAAACACCAAUCAAAUCGGGGCUUGUGCGCACUAUCCCGGCCGUACGAAAAACAAGAAGCACGGCAUCCAGGACCUCGGCCGGAGACCUUAGGCCGAUUGCCAAAUUCUUAGAUUAUAUGCCAACAGUCUCCUAUAUUUUAGUUCUAUAGAUUUAAGCACAUGCCCAAGCCAACGCCCCAGAACAUCGGGGGGCGUGAAACAUUAGUUUAUCGAUAGAGUUAUUAGUUUCAAGCAGAAGCUAAACGAGGAAGAUUCAAGAAUGCAUAAGAGAAAAAGAAUAAAAACUGUAAAGCUUCAGAGCGGCACAACAAA